rnacentral:rRNA from 1 species
UACAGAGGGUGCGAGCGUUAAUCGGAAUUACUGGGCGUAAAGCGUGCGUAGACGGUUAUUUAAGUCGGGUGUGAAAGCCCCGGGCUCAACCUGGGAAUUGCAUUCGAGACUGAAUAGCUGGGGUACGGUAGAGGGAAGUGGAACUUCCGGUGUAGCGGUGAAAUGCGUAGAUAUCGGAAGGAACAUCAGUGGCGAAAGCGACUUCCUGGACCAGUACCGACGUUCAGGCACGAAAGCUAGGGGAGCAAACAGG